AUGUUCACUUUGAUAGCACAUAUGCUAAAAUUGGAAUAAUACAGAGAAGAUUAGCAUGGCCCCUGUGCAAGGACUGCACUUAAAUUCAUUAAGCUUAAAAAAAAUGU
ensembl:snRNA U6 U6 spliceosomal RNA